rnacentral:rRNA from 1 species
CGCAUGGUAGGAGAGCGUUCCGUAAGCCUGCGAAGGUGCCUUGUAAAGGGUGCUGGAGGUAUCGGAAGUGCGAAUGCUGACAUGAGUAGCGAUAAAGGGGGUGAAAGGCCCCCUCGCCGUAAGCCCAAGGUUUCCUACGCAACGUUCAUCGGCGUAGGGUGAGUCGGCCCCUAAGGCGAGGCAGAAAUGCGUAGCUGAUGGGAAGCAGGUCAAUAUUCCUGCACCGUCGUUAGAUGCGAUGGGGGGACGGAUCGCGGAAGGUUGUCCGGGUGUUGGAAGUCCCGGUCGCUGCAUUGGAGAAGGCGCUUAGGCAAAUCCGGGCGCAGGAUUCAAGGGUGUGGCGCGAGCGCUCUAGGGCGCGAAGCAAUUGGAAGUGGUUCCAAGAAAAGCCUCUAAGCUUCAGUCUAACGAUGACCGUACCGCAAACCGACACAGGUGGGCGAGAUGAGUAUUCUAAGGCGCUUGAGAGAACUCGGGAGAAGGAACUCGGCAAAUUGGUACCGUAACUUCGGGAUAAGGUACGCCCUUGUAGCUUGACUGGCCUGCGCCAGGAGGGUGAAGGGGUUGCAAUAAACUGGUGGCUGCGACUGUUUAAUAAAAACACAGCACUCUGCAAACACGAAAGUGGACGUAUAGGGUGUGACGCCUGCCCGGUGCCGGAAGAUUAAAUGAUGGGGUGCAAGCUCUUGAUUGAAGUCCCGGUAAACGGCGGCCGUAACUAUAACGGUCCUAAGGUAGCGAAAUUCCUUGUCGGGUAAGUUCCGACCUGCACGAAUGGCGUAACGAUGGCCACACUGUCUCCUCCCGAGACUCAGCGAAGUUGAAGUGUUUGUGAUGAUGCAAUCUACCCGCGGCUAGACGGAAAGACCCCAUGAACCUUUACUGUAGCUUUGCAUUGGACUUUGAACCGAUCUGUGUAGGAUAGGUGGGAGGCUAUGAAACCGGAACGCUAGUUUCGGUGGAGCCGUCCUUGAAAUACCACCCUGGUUUGUUUGAGGUUCUAACCUUGGCCCGUGAUCCGGGUCGGGGACAGUGCAUGGUAGGCAGUUUGACUGGGGCGGUCUCCUCCCAAAGCGUAACGGAGGAGUACGAAGGUACGCUAGGUACGGUCGGAAAUCGUGCUGAUAGUGCAAUGGCAUAAGCGUGCUUAACUGCGAGACCGACAAGUCGAGCAGGUGCGAAAGCAGGUCAUAGUGAUCCGGUGGUUCUGUAUGGAAGGGCCAUCGCUCAACGGAUAAAAGGUACUCUGGGGAUAACAGGCUGAUACCGCCCAAGAGUUCAUAUCGACGGCGGUGUUUGGCACCUCGAUGUCGGCUCAUCUCAUCCUGGGGCUGUAGCCGGUCCCAAGGGUAUGGCUGUUCGCCAUUUAAAGAGGUACGUGAGCUGGGUUUAAAACGUCGUGAGACAGUUUGGUCCCUAUCUGCCGUGGGCGUUGGAUAUUUGAAGGGGGCUGCUCCUAGUACGAGAGGACCGGAGUGGACGAACCUCUGGUGUACCGGUUGUGACGCCAGUCGCAUCGCCGGGUAGCUAUGUUCGGAAGAGAUAACCGCUGAAAGCAUCUAAGCGGGAAACUCGCCUUAAGAUGAGAUAUCCCUGGAGGCUUGACCUCCUUGAAGGGUCGUUCGAGACCAGGACGUUGAUAGGUCAGGUGUGUAAGCGCAGUAAUGCGUUCAGCUAACUGAUACUAAUUGCCCGUAAGGCUUGAUCCUAUAAC